UAUCAUUAAAUGGGCACGGCAUUAUUAUCCAAAUUUAUCAAAAUAUCCUUUAGUUACUAACUGUCCAAAACAAAAGGGUACCUCUCUGAAAAUUUUUCUAGUAGUCACUGCACAAGUUUUUUUCUACUAUUUCCAGGUAGCAACAUUCUGAGAAUCCAUUGUGUGCUAGUUGCUAUGUGGAGAGUGAAAUAAAACCCUACAUUUAAGAAGUUUAGAAUACAAAUGAGAACACUUCUUUGGGCGAAGCAAGCAAAUCCUUUCUUGCGGAUUUAGUCAUGAAGAAAAGAUACCAGGUGCCAAGAAUAUAGUUCAACUGAAGCAGGGAAUGAAGAAGUUGGUUGAGAUCAUCUCUAAGGCUUCUGACACUGCAGGACUUCUAUAAUGAUACAGUCAGCAAGUCCUUCAUUGAACUCCUGUUAUGUGAUCCCUGUUAACUGGAGGAAAUCAGGAUAUGGCAGCAGGGAAUACAAGAUGAGCAUGUUACAGGUAUUCCCAUCACUGCAAUUCAACUGUGACUUAUUUCCUUUAAAUCACCCAAACACCUUCAGAAAAAUAUGAGAGUAGUUCCUCCAACUACUCCUCCAAUUCUGCUCACAAGGUCAUGGAACCUCUGAAGAUACUUAGGUGGGAAAGUAAAAACGGGGGCCAUCAAAUAUACUUAGAGGACCCAACAUGACAUUACCUCCAUGUACUCUUUGAGGUCGGUCAUAUUCAUAACCAUGCCUGUAACAGGAUCAAUCUGAAGAAUAAACAAAGGUGAAUAUUAGUAUAAUAUGCUUUUCAUA